AACACUUUCUCUUAAAUUGCAGAGGUUCCAGCCUAAAGAAUUAAAGGCUGGGGAAAAAAAUAGGUGCAAACAGAAAAUUUUCUUUUUUGCUUAAAAAGGUACCAACCUAAAAAAAUGAAAAGUUUAAGUAAAACAGGUCAGCAUCUUCAGAAAAGACUAAAUGAAAACUGCCUUGCCUGUUUACAUCUGGCUUGGAAUGGAGAUCAACUCCCUCUGAGAAGCUCUGGUUGAAAGGAUUGCAGGGUAGGAAGAUCUGGAACUGGUACCAGAGACCCACGGUUCCUCCUGGUUUCCCUCUGUAGCACUGGGGCCAGCUCCAUGCAGAGCUCCAAGAUGAUUGUCCUGGACAAUCUAAACCAGCUGCUGAGCCAUGCAUCAUCAUGUACCAGCAGGUGAGGAGGAUCUGACUUCUUCCAUUGGUGAUGUCCUCCAGCUGAACCAAAGCUGCCAUUGUUCCAUAGUUAGGAGCAACUUUAGCAGCUAUUUAUGGACAAGUGUGAUUGUCUCCAGCUGGUCCACCUUAGGAAUCAUCAAACCCGACUUGUUAGGAGUUAAUCUGCUGAUCUGACACCGUUUU